CACAUGCACCAUUCUUUUGCCA
rnacentral:piRNA from 1 species